rnacentral:rRNA from 1 species
AACGAACGCUGGCGGCAUGCCUAACACAUGCAAGUCGAACGAGACCUUCGGGUCUAGUGGCGCACGGGUGCGUAACGCGUGGGAAUCUGCCCUUGGGUUCGGAAUAACAGUUGGAAACGACUGCUAAUACCGGAUGAUGACGUAAGUCCAAAGAUUUAUCGCCCAAGGAUGAGCCCGCGUAGGAUUAGCUAGUUGGUGAGGUAAAGGCUCACCAAGGCGACGAUCCUUAGCUGGUCUGAGAGGAUGAUCAGCCACACUGGGACUGAGACACGGCCCAGACUCCUACGGGAGGCAGCAGUGGGGAAUAUUGGACAAUGGGCGAAAGCCUGAUCCAGCAAUGCCGCGUGAGUGAUGAAGGCCUUAGGGUUGUAAAGCUCUUUUACCCGGGAUGAUAAUGACAGUACCCGGAGAAUAAGCUCCGGCUAACUCCGUG